rnacentral:rRNA from 1 species
GGCUUAUUGAAAAUAAUUUUAAGUCUAUCUGCCCAAUGAAUUAAAUUUUAAUGGCUGCAGUAUAAUUAACUGUACAAAGGUAGCAUAAUCAAUUGUUUUUUAAUUAAAAACUAGAAUGAAAGAAUUAAUGAGAUAUAUACUGUCUCAUAUAUAUAAAAUAAAUUUAAAUUUUUAGUAAAAAUGCUUAAAUUAUUUUAUAAGACGAUAAGACCCUAUAGAAUUUUAUAUUUAUAAAUAAUUAAUUAUUUAAUUAUAAUAUAAAUAUUUAAUUGGGAGGAUAAAUAAAUUUAAUAAACUUUAUUUUUAAAAUAAACUUUAAUUUUAGAAUAUUUUAAAUUGAUCUUAUUAUUAUAAAUUUAAAAAAUAAAUUACCUUAGGGAUAACAGCGUAAUAUCUUUUUAAAGAUCAUAUUAAUAAAGAUGUUUGCGACCUCGAUGUUGAAUUAAGAUAAAUUUUAGGUGAAGAAAUCUAAAUAUUAAGUCUGUUCGACUUUUAAAAUCUUACAUGAUUUGAGUUCAAAUCGACGUAAGU